GGGAGUAUAGCUCAGUGGUACAGUGCAUGCUUAGCAUUCAUGAGGUCCUGGGUUCAAUCCCCAGUACCCCCA
rnacentral:tRNA from 1 species